UAGGCGUAAAUGAUGCGAGUUAAGUGUGGGGGCAUCUACGAGAUGGCCCUGUGCUGUAGGGUAGCCGUUAAACUCGCUGCCUGGGGAGUACGGUCGCAAGGCUGAAACUUAAAGGAAUUGGCGGGGGAGCACAACAACGGGUGGAGCUUGCGGUUUAAUUGGAUUCAACGCCGGAAAUCUUACCGGGACCGACAGCAACAUGAAGGCCAGGCUGAAGACUUUGCCGGAUUAGCUGAGAGGUGGUGCAUGGCGUAGUCGUGU
rnacentral:rRNA from 1 species